UUUCCGUAGGUGAACCUGCGGAAGGAUCAUUGUCGUGACCCUGACCAAAACAGACCGCGCAUGCGUUAUCCAAUCCGUCGGUGACGGCACCGUCCAUCGCUCGGCCAAUGCCUCGACCACCUCCCCUCCUCGGAGUGGGUGGGGGCUCGGGGUAAAAGAACCCACGGCACCGAAGGCGUCCAGGAACACUGUGCCUAACCCGGGGGCAUGGCUAGCUUGCUAGCCGUCCCUCGUGUUGCAAAGCUAUUUAAUGCACACGACUCUCGGCAACGGAUAUCUCAGCUCUC
rnacentral:misc_RNA from 1 species